rnacentral:rRNA from 1 species
AUGCGCGACGGCGUGCCUAUUGAAGAAUGAACCGGCGAGUUACUGUUGCCAGCGAGGUUAAGCGGAAAACGCGGAGCCGAAGCGAAAGCGAGUCUGAACAGGGCGGCAAGUUGGCAGCAGUAGACCCGAAACCACAGUGAUCUACCCAUGUCCAGGUUGAAGCACAGGUAAAAAUGUGUGGAGGACCGAACCAGUGAGCGUUGAAAAGCUUUUGGAUGAGAUGUGGGUA